GGGUCCAGGCAGGUCUCCCCUGCUGCCAGUUUACUUCCCUGUUGGCCCAUGUUUCCCCUUUUCCUUCACUUCAGGGGCUGCCAGGACCCAAAGGGGAGCGAGGAGAGAAGCUCACGUGCUGAAGUUCCACUCCUUCCUCCAUGAGAGCGCCAGGCCUCCCAGGCCCAUCUUGGAGGCCCCCGGGCUCCCCAGCACACUCAGUGAGGCCCGGCUCCCUGGACAAGGGGGAGAUGAAGGCCUCCGCCCUGAGAAGAGAGGUGACCCCAGAGCCCUCAGUCACAUGGGCAGCCGUCAGCGGAAAGGGAGUGAGCCUCCGGGAUGACCCGUGGGAGGAACAG